GAUGAACGCUGGCGGCGUGCCUAAUACAUGCAAGUCGAGCGAAGCGGGGACGGGUGAGUAACACGUGGAUAACCUCCUAUAAGACUGGGAUAACUUCGGGAAACCGGAGCUAAACCGGAUCCUUAUAGAUGGAUCCUCGCUGCAUUAGCUCUUUGGUAAGGUAACGGGUUACCAAGGCAACGAUGCAUAGCCGCCCUGAGAGGGUGAUCGGCCACACUGGAACUGAGACACGUGCCAGACUCCGACGGGAGGCAGCAUUAGGGAAUCUUCCGCAAUGGGCGAAAGCCUGACGGAGCAACCCCGCGUGAGUGAUUAAGGUCUUCGGAGCGUAAAACUCUUUUAUUAGGGAAGCGGUACCUAAGCAGAAAGCCACGGCUAACUACGUGCCAGCAGCCGCGGUAAUAC
rnacentral:rRNA from 1 species